rnacentral:rRNA from 1 species
AUUGAACGCUGGCGGCAGGCCUAACACAUGCAAGUCGAGCGGCAGCACAAGGGAGUUUACUCCUGAGGUGGCGAGCGGCGGACGGGUGAGUAAUGCCUAGGGAUCUGCCCAGUCGAGGGGGAUAACAGUUGGAAACGACUGCUAAUACCGCAUACGCCCUACGGGGGAAAGAGGGGGACCUUCGGGCCUCUCGCGAUUGGAUGAACCUAGGUGGGAUUAGCUAGUUGGUGAGGUAAUGGCUCACCAAGGCGACGAUCCCUAGCUGUUCUGAGAGGAUGAUCAGCCACACUGGGACUGAGACACGGCCCAGACUCCUACGGGAGGCAGCAGUGGGGAAUAUUGCACAAUGGGGGAAACCCUGAUGCAGCCAUGCCGCGUGUGUGAAGAAGGCCUUCGGGUUGUAAAGCACUUUCAGUAGGGAGGAAAGGGUGUAGUUUAAUACGCUAUAUCUGUGACGUUACCUACAGAAGAAGGACCGGCUAACUCCGUGCCAGCAGCCGCGGUAAUACGGAGGGUCCGAGCGUUAAUCGGAAUUACUGGGCGUAAAGCGUGCGCAGGCG